rnacentral:misc_RNA from 1 species
UCCGGUUUGUCACCGGCAGUCUCAUUAGAGUGCCCUUGCGUAGCAACUAAUGAUAAGGGUUGCGCUCGUUGCGGGACUUAACCCAACAUCUCACGACACGAGCUGACGACAGCCAUGCAGCAUCUGUGUUCAGGUUCUCUUUCGAGCACGUCACCAUCUCUGGCGACUUCCUGACAUGUCAAGGGUAGGUAAGGUUUUUCGCGUUGCGUCGAAUUAAACCACAUGCUCCACCGCUUGUGUGGGCCCCCGUCAAUUCCUUUGAGUUUCAGCCUUGCGGCCGUACUCCCCAGGCGGGGCACUUAACGCGUUAACUGCGGCACAGAGGGAUUCGACUCCCCCCACACCUAGUGUCCAUCGUUUACAGCGUGGACUAC